rnacentral:lncRNA from 1 species
UAAAUCAUAAAUCAAAAGGCAGAAGAGGUGGAAGCCAGUUAGCUUUUCCUCUUUGCUCACUCACCUGUCCGCUGACCAUGUUUCCCUUGCCAGAAUGGAAAGCAUGGGUUCCAAAGGCCCAGGGAGUUGUCUCUCAUGUGGUCCAGCUCAGCUGGCAGCAGAAGGGCCUCAUGCAGGUGGUGUGAAACCUAGUCUGGUGAGAGCUCAUCUGGAAACUGUGGAGUUCAAGACAUCAUUUGGAUUUGGCAGCUCCUCUCCAAGCUGCCCACCAUUUCCUUGGAGCAGGAGAGAAUUUGGAACAAGCCCCAGAUGGAAUCUGGGAUCCACUCUCCCCUGUGUGAGGUUCCAAAAAAAAAAAAAAAGGACAGAGCCUGUAAGCUGUAGAAGGCCUCCUCAUAAAGUCACCAAGAGAAGAAAAAAAGUAAAAAUCAGUUCAUUGAAAUACAAGACAAAAUAUAUUUCUUACCAUUCCCAUGCACAGUGCUGUGCAAUAUGCCUUCUGCAAGUACAUUUUAACCAUGCUUCUGUUGAUGCUGCCCUAUGCCCCCUCUGGCUUGUAUUUAACUUACCACAACAGAUCAUACUCAUCUUCGGACACAAUAAAACAAAUCAGUUUCUUCCUUUUUAUUUUCUUUUUUUUUUUUUGAAACAUGGGCUGUGACAUUUAACUGAUUAUAUUCUGUUGCCCCAUUGAAGAGUUCUCAAGAAAUGAGAACAAGCCAAUGGGUUGCAAGUAGUGGGCAGUGAUAUAAAACAAUCUUACAGAAAACUAAAAUAGAGUCCUCUAUCAGCUUUAUUCUUUCUGUAAAGCCUACAAUUAUAUCAAAGAUAAAAAUGUUGCAUAAAUAUACCAAAUAUCCAGGAAGGCCCCAUUUACUGCCUUGGCCAGAAUCUGUAUUCUCUCUUGUAGUUAAUUUAUGGAAGGUUGUGAGAAGUGUGGUCAAUGUUAAGAGAUGUCAGAUCUGUCACUGGAAUUUGGCUUUUGAAUAUUACAAUAUAAUGAAAUCUGCACAAGACUGAUUUGGGUGAGAGCAGAAUAAUAAUACUUGGCACAAAAUGCUUUGCAUCCUCAAAGCCCUGUACAAAACAAGAACCCCCACAACACCCCUGUGAGGUAGGGAAGUAUUAUUAUCCUUAUUUGACCAAUGGGAAACCAUACACAGAGAGAUUAAAUGACUUGCUGAAAACCACAGUGAAUCAGCAGCAGGGAUGGGAUAAGAAUUCAUCCCCCACACUGCUUCCUAGCCAAUGUCAAUAAACCGAAAAUAUCAGUUUUCUCA